rnacentral:rRNA from 1 species
GACGAACGCUGGCGGCGUGCUUAACACAUGCAAGUCGAACGGAAAGGCCCUGCUUUUGUGGGGUGCUCGAGUGGCGAACGGGUGAGUAACACGUGAGUAACCUGCCCUUGACUUUGGGAUAACUUCAGGAAACUGGGGCUAAUACCGGAUAGGAGCUCCUGCUGCAUGGUGGGGGUUGGAAAGUUUCGGCGGUUGGGGAUGGACUCGCGGCUUAUCAGCUUGUUGGUGGGGUAGUGGCUUACCAAGGCUUUGACGGGUAGCCGGCCUGAGAGGGUGACCGGCGACAUGGGGCCUGAGAGACGGACCAGACUCCUACGGGAGGCAGCAGUGGGGAAUAUUGCACAAUGGGCGGAAGCCUGAUGCAGCAACGCCGCGUGCGGGAUGACGGCCUUCGGGUUGUAAACCGCUUUCGCCUGUGACGAAGCGUGAGUGACGGUAAUGGGUAAAGAAGCACCGGCUAACUACGUG